CGGACUCUUCGGAGUUAGUGGCGGACGGGUGAGUAACACGUGGGAACGUGCCUUUAGGUUCGGAAUAAGCCCGGGAAACUGGGUCUAAUACCGAAUGUGCCCUUCGGGGGAAAGAUUUAUCGCCUUUAGAGCGGCCCGCGUCUGAUUAGCUAGUUGGUGGUGUAAUGGACCACCAAGGCGACGAUCAGUAGCUGGUCUGAGAGGAUGACCAGCCACAUUGGGACUGAGACACGGCCCAAACUCCUACGGGAGGCAGCAGUGGGGAAUCUUGCGCAAUGGGCGAAAGCCUGACGCAGCCAUGCCGCGUGUAUGAUGAAGGUCUUAGGAUUGUAAAAUACUUUCACCGGUGAAGAUAAUGACUGUAGCCGGAGAAGAAGCCCCGGCUAACUUCGUGCCAGCAGCCGCGGUAAUACGAAGGGGGCUAGCGUUGCUCGGAAUUACUGGGCGUAAAGGGAGCGUAGGCGGACAUUUAAGUCAGGGGUGAAAUCCCAGAGCUCAACUCUGGAACUGCCUUUGAUACUGGAUGUCUUGAGUGUGAGAGAGGUAUGUGGAACUCCGAGUGUAGAGGUGAAAUUCGUAGAUAUUCGGAAGAACACCAGUGGCGAAGGCGACAUACUGGCUCAUUACUGACGCUGAGGCUCGAAAGCGUGGGGAGCAAACAGGAUUAGAUACCCUGGUAGUCCACGCCGUANNCCCUCGCCAUUAGUUGCCAUCAUUUA
rnacentral:rRNA from 1 species